rnacentral:misc_RNA from 1 species
AGGGGUGGGGACGCGUGCAUGUGUGCGCGUACACACGCAUGUGUGUCGGUGCACCACUAUAUAUAUGUGUGUGCGUGCACGCCGACAGACAGGUGUGUGGGUGCGCAUGUACAUGUAGACAUGCGUAUCGAUGUAUAUAGCCGACCGCGUGCCGUGUGUAGGCGUGUGUGCGUGUAUAUCAGUGUGUGCCGGCACGUGUGUCGCGCCACGCUCUCUUGCCCGCCUCCCCUGUGCCUGUCACUCGCUCUGGGCGCGCUGGCGGCGGGCGCCGGGUGGUGGCCGCGCGGAAGGUGGGCGGCGGCCCUUCCCUAUUUCUGUCUUUCGCUAUUUCUCUGUGCCCUACUCGCGUGAACAAACGAAAGCUGCUCGGCCCCGUGGCCCCGACCCGCGCCGUGGGAGGGGGAAAUGUGCUGUGGUAACGCCGAUGACGAUGGGCGUUGUGGCGAGGACCGCGCGCGGAGGCUGCCGCGACGGUGGCGUGCAGCGCGGGCCUCUGGACGUGCGUGCGUGCCGUCUCUCCCCACCGUUGCUCCUCUCCCUGCCUGCCCAGACAUCAUCUCUCUCUGCCUGCCCUCCCCCUCCGCCGCGCCUGAGCCCUGCGCACUGCCUGCCCGGCUGCGUGCGUGUGCGUGUCUCCGUCUGUGCCCGGGGCACCACUCAUUCAUAG